GAAGCCCCUUGUGUGCCCUGCAAUGUCAGACCCUGCCCUGCCCCUCCGCCAUUGCCCGUGGCCAGCUUUGGGCGAUCCCAGCAGAGAAGUGUGACUGAUGGGAACUGGAGCAGGGCAAAGCUGGUGGGAUGACUUGUGACCAGCCUGAAGUGCAAUGUUUACCCCAGUCUGAGUAGCUCUGAGCAAAGCUAGCCAGAGCCGUGGCAGGAGCCGGAUUUUGAGCAAGUCUCGAUCGGAUGAUAGUACCAGCUGGAACCCAGGCAGAAGCCCAUGAGUUUUUGGUCCAUCCAUAGCAGUUUCAGAUGAGUCAAAAUGAACAAGGUGACUUCUUGUUUCAGGUUAGCCCCCUGUGUUCUACAAACAGCAAAAAAACCCCACUGUUGUGUUAAAAAAAAAAAGAAUGAGCAUACGCUGAGACAGAGAAACAAAAGGUGCAUUCGACCUCUCUUUCCAACAAGUACAUACACUGAUGCACAUUACCCCCUUCUUGGAUUUUCUGAAUACACAAAAACAACUGCCAGGCCUUUGGAAGGUUCAAAAGGAGAAGCAUUGGUGCCAUCUGCUGGCUAUGACCUGUGUUUACUACCUUCGUUCCUACUUACUUGAGUUAUGAAAUGAUUUCGUCCAAUUCAGUUCUUUCUGAGACCACUUGCACCAAGUCUCCUUAGUCAUUAUAAUAUUAAAAAAAUACCAUGAUGACCUUGUAACAGAAGCCAAUAGACAGCAAGUUGUUUGCCCUAAAGGCUGUGCAAGUACAUACUUGCCUUAACCUAAGUUGCACAUCAGAGAAACUCAGUGCAGGCUCACUGAAGCGACUUCCUGUAGAUUCAACCUGCUGCUGUUAAUUCUGAAAGCUUUUUUUUUUCCCCCUCGUGUCAGGGAAUAAGGCUCUGUUGCUCAGCAGCUCCAGAGUGACCACAUACGAAAACUGCCAGCCAUCAGAGAAGUGCUUUACUAAUGAGCCUCCACAAUGGUCAAGGAAACAAACAAUUUAUAAUGCUUAAAAGAGAAAUUGAUCUCUGGGAUUAGGAAAAGGGGUAAAGGGAAUCCCUCAUUAAACCAAUAACUGAACCUACUGGAAAUAAACAGUGUUUCAUAACC